rnacentral:tRNA from 1 species
GGCUCGUUGGUCUAGGGGUAUGAUUAUCGCUUCGGGUGCGAGAGGUCGCGGGUUCAAAUCCCGGACGAGCCC